rnacentral:rRNA from 1 species
AUUGAACGCUGGCGGCAGGCUUAACACAUGCAAGCCGAGCGGAGAUGAGGUGCUUGCACCUUAUCUUAGCGGCGGACGGGUGAGUAAUGCUUAGGAAUCUGCCUAUUAGUGGGGGACAAAAUUCCGAAAGGAAUGCUAAUACCGCAUACGUCCUACGGGAGAAAGCAGGGGAUCUUCGGACCUUGCGCUGAUAGAUGAGCCUAAGUCGGAUUAGCUAGUUGGUGGGGUAAAGGCCUACCAAGGCGACGAUCUGUAGCGGGUCUGAGAGGAUGGUCCGCCACACUGGGACUGAGACACGGGCCAGACUCCUACGGGAGGCAGCAGUGGGGAAUAUUGGACAAUGGGGGGAACCCUGAUCCAGCCAUGCCGCGUGUGUGAAGAAGGCCUUAUGGUUGUAAAGCACUUUAAGCGAGGAGGAGGCUACUGAGACUAAUACUCUUGGAUAGUGGACGUUACUCGCAGAAUAAGCACCGGCUAACUCUGUGCCAGCCGCCGCAGUAAGAC